GAUGAACGCUAGCGGGAGGCUUAACACAUGCAAGUCGAGGGGCAGCAUAGGGUAGCAAUACUCUGAUGGCGACCGGCAAACGGGUGAGUAACGCGUAUGCAACCUACCCUGUACAGGGGGAUAACCCGGAGAAAUUCGGACUAAUAUCCCGUAAUAAUAUCCGGAGGCAUCUUUGGAUAUUAAAGUUCCGACGGUACGGGAUGGGCAUGCGUAACAUUAACUGGUUGGUAAGGUAACGGCUUACCAAGGCUAUGAUGUUUAGGGGUCCUGAGAGGGUGGUCCCCCACACUGGUACUGAGACACGGACCAGACUCCUACGGGAGGCAGCAGUGAGGAAUAUUGGUCAAUGGGCGCAAGCCUGAACCAGCCAUCCCGCGUGCAGGAAGACGGCCCUAUGGGUUGUAAACUGCUUUUCCAGGGAGAGAAACUUACGCACGUGUUGCGUGACUGACGGCACCCUGGGAAUAAGCAUCGGCUAACUCCGUGCCAGCAGCCGCGUAAUAGUGUGUGUA
rnacentral:rRNA from 1 species